CAGCAGCCCGGGAACACAGAGGGUGCAAGCGUUAAUCGGAAUUACUGGGCGUAAAGCGCGCGUAGGUGGUUUGUUAAGUUGGAUGUGAAAUCCCCGGGCUCAACCUGGGAACUGCAUCCAAAACUGGCAAGCUAGAGUAUGGUAGAGGGUGGUGGAAUUUCCUGUGUAGCGGUGAAAUGCGUAGAUAUAGGAAGGAACACCAGUGGCGAAGGCGACCACCUGGACUGAUACUGACACUGAGGUGCGAAAGCGUGGGGAGCAAACAGGAUUAGAUACCCCCGUAGUCCCUGUCUCUUAUACA
rnacentral:rRNA from 1 species